rnacentral:rRNA from 1 species
UAGGGAAUCUUCGGCAAUGGACGAAAGUCUGACCGAGCAACGCCGCGUGAGUGAAGAAGGUUUUCGGAUCGUAAAACUCUGUUGUUAGAGAAGAACAAGGACGUUAGUAACUGAACGUCCCCUGACGGUAUCUAACCAGAAAGCCACGGCUAACUACGUGCCAGCAGCCGCGGUAAUACGUAGGUGGCAAGCGUUGUCCGGAUUUAUUGGGCGUAAAGCGAGCGCAGGCGGUUUCUUAAGUCUGAUGUGAAAGCCCCCGGCUCAACCGGGGAGGGUCAUUGGAAACUGGGAGAAUUGAGGGCAGAAGAGGAGAGUGGAAUUCCAUGUGUAGCGGUGAAAUGCGUAGAUAUAUGGAGGAACACCAGUGGCGAAGGCGGCUCUCUGGUCUGUAACUGACGCUGAGGCUCGAAAGCGUGGGGAGCAAACAGG